CUGGAACCGAGAACAGAAAAUGUCAGUACAUCUCCCCUUUAAACAAUUUAACUAUUUGCCUUUAAAAUCAGUUGAGCAUGAUUUCAGAAAAAAAAAUCCAUGCUCCAUGGAUCAUCAUUGUACCUCUUAUUUUCACAAAUAAGCCUGAAUUUAAAGACGUGCUCUCAUAGCCAUUUCCUACCAGUCAGCCAACUAAAUCAAUGAAUAACCAGUGUAACCAUGUUAAUCUUUUUUUAUUAUCGUAAAACUGGUUUGGAUUAAUGAGUCAUGAAACAGAAGAACAAACCCAAGUCGUGAUUCACAGGAGAACCAUGGUCACAAAGAGAAAGAGAGAGAGAGAGUGAAAAAGAUCAAGAACUCUUACCUGAGCUGCAGCAGGUGAGUGAACUCAAUCUCAAAGUAAAUGUCACACUAUCUGAAUAUGCUGAGAUUUAAACUCGGUUGUGCAGUUCUUUUUCCUCAGUGGUGAAGCACUCAGGGCGACCGUGACAGUCCCUCAAAGGGUCGAUCCAGUAUCCAUUUUACGCACGACUCAGGUGUCUCGACUCUUCAUAACCCCCACCUCUGUAAAACUUGGAUUCUCCUAUUUUCCUCAACUUAAAUAACUCCACUGUUCUCCUGUUAUUCUCCAAUAAAGCACAAAUCAAUUGCCACACUUAUAAAGAGGAGCGGCUGCGGUCUACUGAACCAGCAGGUUUCCGCCUCCGAAACUCUCACCUCCAACUACCUGUCCUCGCCCCUGAUUGGAUGGAAUCUCUUAGUUGGUCACGUGAGCGCCACUCAGGUGAAUCCACAGCAGUGUAUUGAACAACAGGUUGAACCAAGGUGUGCUUGCUCUGGGAAAGAGUGCAGGAAGGCAGCCAGUUGGACUGGUGGAGUCAGCUCAAAACUUUCGAAGGAAGUAAGUGACAAAUGUAACUGAGUUUAGUAACUACACCCAAACAAAGGCCUGGUUUACAAGAUGUUUCAGGCAACACAUAUUAUUAGAGGUUUUUGAAACACUGGU
rnacentral:lncRNA from 1 species